GACGAACGCUGGCGGCGUGCUUAACACAUGCAAGUCGAGCGAGACUUCGGCCUAGCGGCGAACGGGUGAGUAACACGUGGGCAACCUGCCCCGAGCUCUGGGAUAACUCCGGGAAACCGGGGCUAAUACCGGAUACGACCCCUAGAGACAUCUCUUUGGGUGGAAAGUUUUUCGGCUCGGGAUGGGCCCGCGGCCUAUCAGCUUGUUGGUGGGGUAACGGCCUACCAAGGCGACGACGGGUAGCCGGCCUGAGAGGGCGACCGGCCACACUGGGACUGAGACACGGCCCAGACUCCUACGGGAGGCAGCAGUGGGGAAUAUUGCGCAAUGGGCGAAAGCCUGACGCAGCGACGCCGCGUGAGGGAUGAAGGCCUUCGGGUUGUAAACCUCUUUCAGCAGGGACGAAGCGAAAGUGACGGUACCUGCAGAAGAAGCACCGGCCAACUACGUGCCAGCAGCCGCCGCAGUAA
rnacentral:rRNA from 1 species